rnacentral:tRNA from 2 species
GCCUGGCUGGCUCAGUUGGUAGAGCAUGUGACUCUUGAUCUCAGGGUCAUGAGUUCAAGCCCCAUGUUGGGCA